rnacentral:lncRNA from 1 species
AACCCACACUUCACGGCCGGCUGCACAACCGCCGUCUCCGCCGCCCGUCGGAAUAUUCAGGUAUGAUCGGUUAUCACCAUUUCAUUGGACUGCACUCGUUGAUUUCGAUUCAAAUAAUCAUAUGGUAAAAAAAUCCAUAAUUAUUUCGAUAACAGUUUAAAUUGAAUACAUUUUUAUCUGUUUUAAAGUUAACUUGUCCGAAAUGGUAUUUUUUUCUUUUCUUAAUUUCAAUCAGACAUAAACCCUAAAUCAAUCUGGCAUUUGAAGAAGCAGAGUUCAUACCUUGUGGAUGAAUUGAUAAUAAAAAAAUCCGGCAGUUUCGAUAAUUCCGAAAUCAAGUUUAACACAUUCAGAAACUAAUGGAGAAUGAUUCUGCUUCAAAUCCAAGAUCUGGUGGUGGCGGAUCAACUUCCUCCGUCCAGGGCGGCGGCAUGAC